AGUCAAGUAAUUAAGUGCAUGUGGUGGAUGCCUUGGCAGUCAGAGGCGAUGAAAGACGUGAUAGCCUGCGAAAAGCUCCGGGGAGGCGGCAAAUAUCCUUUGAUCCGGAGAUGUCUGAAUGGGGGAACCCACCUACUUUAAGGUAGGUAUUGCAACAUGAAUACAUAGUGUUGCAAGGCGAACGAGGGGAAGUGAAACAUCUCAGUACCCUUAGGAAAAGAAAUCAAUUGAGAUUCCCUCAGUAGCGGCGAGCGAACGGGGAUCAGCCCAUUAAGUUAUGUGUGUUUUAGUGGAACGCUCUGGGAAGUGCGAACGUAGAGGGUGAUAUUCCCGUACACGAAAGGGCACACAUAAUGAUGACGAGUAGGGCGAGGCACGUGAAACCUUGUCUGAAUAUGGGGGGACCAUCCUCCAAGGCUAAAUACUCCUGACUGACCGAUAGUGAACCAGUACCGUGAGGGAAAGGCGAAAAGAACCCCUGUGAGGGGAGUGAAAUAGAUCCUGAAACCGCAUGCAUACAAGCAGUGGGAGCACCUUCGUGGUGUGACUGCGUACCUUUUGUAUAAUGGGUCAGCGACUUAUAUUCAGUAGCGAGGUUAACCGUAUAGGGGAGCCGUAGAGAAAUCGAGUCUUAAUAGGGCGUUUAGUUGCUGGGUAUAGACCCGAAACCAGGCGAUCUAUCCAUGAGCAGGUUGAAGGUUGGGUAACACUAACUGGAGGACCGAACCCACUGUCGUUGAAAAGCCAGGGGAUGACUUGUGGAUAGGGGUGAAAGGCUAAUCAAGCCUGGUGAUAGCUGGUUCUCCCCGAAAGCUAUUUAGGUAGCGCCUCGGACGAAUACCAUAGGGGGUAGAGCACUGUUUCGGCUAGGGGGUCAUCCCGACUUACCAAACCGAUGCAAACUCCGAAUACCUAUGAGUACUAUCCGGGAGACAGACUGCGGGUGCUAACGUCCGUAGUCAAGAGGAAAACAAUCCAGACCGCCAGCUAAGGCCCCAAAAUCAUAGUUAAGUGGGAAACGAUGUGGGAAGGCAUAGACAGCUAGGAGGUUGGCUUAGAAGCAGCCACCCUUUAAAGAAAGCGUAAUAGCUCACUAGUCGAGUCGGCCUGCGCGGAAGAUGUAACGGGGCUAAAACUAUGUGCCGAAGCUGCGGAUGUAUACUUUGUAUACGUGGUAGGGGAGCGUUCUGUAAGCCGAUGAAGGUGUGUUGAGAAGCAUGCUGGAGGUAUCAGAAGUGCGAAUGCUGACGUGAGUAACGACAAAACGGGUGAAAAACCCGUUCGCCGAAAGACCAAGGGUUCCAGUCCAACGUUAAUCGGGGCUGGGUGAGUCGACCCCUAAGGCGAGGCCGAAAGGCGUAGUCGAUGGGAAAAUGGUUAAUAUUCCAUUACUUCUGUGUAAUGCGAUGAGAGGACGGAGAAGGCUAAAUCAGCCUGGCGUUGGUUGUCCAGGUGAAAGGAUGUAGGCAUGUAUCUUAGGCAAAUCCGGGGUACUCUAUGCUGAGAUCUGAUAGCAAGCUGUACUUGUACAGCGAAGUGGUUGAUGCCAUGCUUCCAGGAAAAGUCUCUAAGCUUCAGUUACACAGGAAUCGUACCCGAAACCGACACAGGUGGUCAGGUCGAGUAGACCAAGGCGCUUGAGAGAACUCUGCUGAAGGAACUAGGCAAAAUGGUACCGUAACUUCGGGAGAAGGUACGCUGUUGUUGGUGAUGGAACUCGCUUCCUGAGCUGACGACAGCCGCAGAAACCAGGCCGCUGCAACUGUUUAUUAAAAACAUAGCACUCUGCAAACACGAAAGUGGACGUAUAGGGUGUGAUGCCUGCCCGGUGCUGGAAGGUUAAUUGAUGGGGUUAGCGUAAGCGAAGCUCUUGAUCGAAGCCCCAGUAAACGGCGGCCGUAACUAUAACGGUCCUAAGGUAGCGAAAUUCCUUGUCGGGUAAGUUCCGACCUGCACGAAUGGCAUAAUGAUGGCGGCGCUGUCUCCAGCAGAGGCUCAGUGAAAUCGAAAUCGCUGUGAAGAUGCAGUGUACCCGCGGCUAGACGGAAAGACCCCGUGAACCUUUACUGCAGCUUGACACUGAACUUUGACCUUACUUGUGUAGGAUAGGUGGGAGGCUUUGAAGCUGGAACGCUAGUUCCAGUGGAGCCGUCCUUGAAAUACCACCCUGGUAAUGUUGAGGUUCUAACUCUGUCCCGUGAUCCGGGACGAGGACCGUGUCUGGUGGGUAGUUUGACUGGGGCGGUCUCCUCCUAAAGAGUAACGGAGGAGUACGAAGGUGCGCUCAGCGUGGUCGGAAAUCACGCGUAGAGUAUAAAGGCAAAAGCGCGCUUAACUGCGAGACCCACAAGUCGAGCAGGUACGAAAGUAGGUCUUAGUGAUCCGGUGGUUCUGUAUGGAAGGGCCAUCGCUCAACGGAUAAAAGGUACUCUGGGGAUAACAGGCUGAUACCGCCCAAGAGUUCAUAUCGACGGCGGUGUUUGGCACCUCGAUGUCGGCUCAUCUCAUCCUGGGGCUGAAGCAGGUCCCAAGGGUAUGGCUGUUCGCCAUUUAAAGAGGUACGCGAGCUGGGUUUAGAACGUCGUGAGACAGUUCGGUCCCUAUCUACCGUGGGCGCUGGAAAUUUGAGAGGAUCUGCUCCUAGUACGAGAGGACCAGAGUGGACGAACCUCUGGUGUACCGGUUGUGACGCCAGUCGCAUCGCCGGGUAGCUAUGUUCGGAAGGGAUAACCGCUGAAAGCAUCUAAGCGGGAAGCCUACCUCAAGAUAAGAUUUCCCUAGGACUUUAUGUCCUCUAAAGAGCCGUUCGAGACUAGGACGUUGAUAGGUUGGAUGUGGAAGCAUAGUGAUAUGUGAAGCUGACCAAUACUAAUUGCUCGU
rnacentral:rRNA from 1 species